UACGGAGGGUGCUAGCGUUGUUCGGAAUUACUGGGCGUAAAGCGCACGUAGGCGGCUUUGUAAGUUAGAGGUGAAAGCCCGGGGCUCAACCCCGGAAUUGCCUUUAAGACUGCAUCGCUUGAAUCCGGGAGAGGUGAGUGGAAUUCCGAGUGUAGAGGUGAAAUUCGUAGAUAUUCGGAAGAACACCAGUGGCGAAGGCGGCUCACUGGACCGGUAUUGACGCUGAGGUGCGAAAGCGUGGGGAGCAAACGGG
rnacentral:rRNA from 1 species